rnacentral:rRNA from 1 species
UACGGGGGGGGUAAGCGUUGUUCGGAAUUACUGGGCGUAAAGGGCUCGUAGGCGGCCAACUAAGUCAUACGUGAAAUCCCUCAGCUUAACUGGGGAACUGCGUGUGAUACUGGAUGGCUUGGAUUUGGGAGAGGGAUGCGGAAUUCCAGGUGUAGCGGUGAAAUGCGCAGAUAUCAAGAGGAACACCGGUGGCGAAGGCGGUUCUCUGGGCAUGACCUGACGCUGAGGAGCGAAAGUGUGGGGAGCGAACAGG